GUUAGAGGAAUGCAGAACUCCCAAAUUCCAAGCAUCCAUGAUAACCACCUCUCCAGAGAAGUCUAAACAGGCCUGUUUUGGAAGUGAGUGCUAAGAGCAGGCAAAUGGGAAGAAAUGUCUGCAAAAUAUCUUUAUUAUUUUACCAUUAACACCAAUAUUUCUAGGUCAGAAGGAAGUUUGAUGAGCUCACCACGCAAGACUACAUGGUUACUGACUGGAAUGGCCAUCAGGAGGGCAGAGAGCCACUGCGCCUCUUUCUGCUGAGGGUUGUGGAUACAGAUGGGAAUUUGAAACCUUCUUUCCUGUUUGUGUGAAAAAUUCAGACUACUGGCAAAUUCUACCCUGGAAACUGACUAUGGGUCAAUGGGAGUCCGCUGGCGAAUGGAUACCGCCUGUUCUGUUUCCAAUUCAUCAGGAACCAUGUGGAGAAUUAAUAUCCUGCCCGUCCAGAAGGAAGGGAGUUAUUAUGGACAGCAAAGAGGAAAGGUAGCCAAGUUCAGAUGUUCCCCAGGCUGUGGCUGCUGAAAGUCAAACAGUAUGAAGUAUAAUGAAGGCAUAUCACAGCCUUCCUGUACUCAGAAACACUGGACGGCACUUCCACAAUAUGCUCUGAGGGCCACUUUGAGGAGUGAAAGCACCAACAGCAAGCACAAAAAUGAAAAAAAAAAAAAAAGGCACUGCACAGGCUGUGCAAGGACACCUGUUGGCUGUCUGAGAGCUGAAGCUAGAAGGUAGGGUUGCCUGGUUUCCACCUCAUCUGGCACAUGAGCAGCCAGAGACUCGGAUUUUUGCCCCUAUGGGCAUGUCUACAGAUGACUGGAAAAGAGCUGCAAGUAUUGAUUUUGGGGUCACGAAUACAUUUUAGCAAGUAGGUAAAUUAGCAAAUAUGGAAUCUGUGUAUAAUGAAGAUUGACUAUGUCCUAUUUCUGUGCUACCCUGAAUUUAUGUGGAUAUGUGAUGAUUUUAACAACACUACGGCUCAAUUAUGCAUGUGACUUCAUGCUAGUUUUAGCGCCAUUUAGAUUUUGAACUGUAAGUUUAUCUUGCAUGAUUUUAUUAUUUCUUUCCAUCCCACUUAAAGAAAGGUAGAGAAUUGCCUGUGGUUUACUGGUAGUGGUGACGGUGAAUUUCCUCCAGGGCACGAAACUAGCUUUCCAGGGGUAAUACGAAUCAGCUACAGAGCAACACAAAAGGAAUUAAUAGAAAUGUAAUCUCAAAAGGUACUUCUGUUUAAAACCACAAAAUCUUAUGUACUAUUUAUUAUCUGUAAAACCACAAAAUCUUAUGUACUAUUUAUUAUCUGUGGGUUGAAAAUAAAUUUCAGAAUCCAAAGAGGAUUGAAAGGG